rnacentral:rRNA from 1 species
AGACACGGCCCCCACUCCUACGGGAGGCAGCAGCAGGGAAUCUUGCACAAUGGGCGAAAGCCUGAUGCAGCGACGCCGCGUGAGGGAUGAAGGUUUUAGGAUCGUAAACCUCUUUUCUUAGGGAAUAGUUUGGAAGGUACCUAAGGAAUAAGUCACGGCUAACUACGUGCCAGCAGCCGCGGUAAUACGUAGGUGGCAAAUGUUGUCCGGAAUCAUUGGGCGUAAAGGGUCCGUAGGUGGCUUGAAAAGUCUUAUGUGAAAUCUCUUGGCUCAACCAAGAAACGCCAUAAGAAACUUUCAUGCUAGAGAUCAUCAGAGGGAGGUAGAAUUCCAGGUGUAGUGGUGAAAUGCGUAGAUAUCUGGAGGAAUACCAAUGGCGAAAGCAGCCUCCUGGGGUGAAUCUGACAUUGAGGGACGAAAGCGUGGGUAGCAAACCGGAUUAGAUACCCGGGUAGUCCAUGCCGUAAACGAUGAAUACUGGGUCUUCGGGGAAUCGACCCCCUGUGGACCGAAGCUAACGCGUUAAGUAUUCCGCCUGGGGAGUACGGUCGCAAGACUAAAACUCAAAGGAAUUGACGGGGGCCCGCACAAGCAGCGGAGCGUGUGGUUUAAUUCGAUGGUAAACGAAGAACCUUACCUAGGUUUGACAUAUAAGUAGUACUGACCCGAAAGGUGAUGGACCCGCAAGGGAGCUUAUACAGGUGCUGCAUGGUUGUCGUCAGCUCGUGCCGUGAGGUGUUGGGUUAAGUCCCGCAACGAGCGCAACCCUCGUGGAUAGUUGUUUUCUUUAUCCAGACUGCUUUUACAAGAGGAAGGUGGGGAUGACGUCAAAUCAUCAUGGCUCUUACACCUAGGGCUACACACACGCUACAAUGGACAGUACAGACGGUUGCUAAGUCGCAAGAUGGAGCCAAUCCGAUAAAGCUGUCCCCAAUUGGGAUUGUAGGCUGAAACUCGCCUGCAUGAACCUGGAGUUGCUAGUAACCGCAGAUCAGAAUGCUGCGGUGAAUACGUUCCCGGGCCUUGUACACACCGCCCGUCACGUCAUGGAAGUUUGAAACACUUGAAGUCGCUGGGCUUACCUUUUAGGAGGCAGGCGCCGAGAGUGGGGCAAAUGACUGGGACGAAGUCGUAACAAGGUAGCUGUACCGGAAGGUGCG